rnacentral:rRNA from 1 species
GAUGAACGCUAGCGGCAGGCCUAACACAUGCAAGUCGAACGGUAACAGAAAAGCUUGCUUUUUGCUGACGAGUGGCGCACGGGUGCGUAACGCGUAUACAACCUACCUUUUACAGGGGGAUAGCCUUUAGAAAUGAAGAUUAAUACCCCAUAGUAUGGUGACUCGGCAUCGAGAUAUCAUUAAAGUUUCGGCGGUAAAAGAUGAGUAUGCGUUCUAUUAGCUAGUAGGUGUGGUAACGGCAUACCUAGGCAACGAUAGAUAGGGGCCCUGGGAGGGGGAUCCCCCACACUGGUACUGAGACACGGACCAGACUCCUACGGGAGGCAGCAGUGAGGAAUAUUGGACAAUGGGGCGAAAGCCUGAUCCAGCCAUGCCGCGUGCAGGAAGACUGCCCUAUGGGUUGUAAACUGCUUUUAUACGGGAAGAAACCCACUACGUGUAGGUGGCUGACGGUACCGUAAG